UGGAAAAGGUUUCCUCCUAGAAGCCGAGACAUCACUGCACCUAAACUAAACAUGUAUCAACUUCUCCAAAAUGAAUUCAAUUUCUUCUCUCAACACCACACCAUCAUACACUCUACACCUAAUUCCAUCUAAUCAACUUCUUUAACAAAGAAAUAAAGCAAAUAAAGAAAAGAGGAACUCAUUACCUAGUCACGUCCCAACCUCCUAGUCCACCUAAUCUACUUCUAAUUUCAUCAACUAAUUAAAAGAAACACUUUAAUGGCAUGAAGCCUCUG
rnacentral:lncRNA from 1 species